rnacentral:siRNA from 1 species
CAGUCUCAGUCUAGAUUCUGUG